GACGAACGCUGGCGGCGUGCCUAAUACAUGCAAGUCGAACGAACUCUGGUAUUGAUUGGUGCUUGCAUCAUGAUUUACAUUUGAGUGAGUGGCGAACUGGUGAGUAACACGUGGGAAACCUGCCCAGAAGCGGGGGAUAACACCUGGAAACAGAUGCUAAUACCGCAUAACAACUUGGACCGCAUGGUCCGAGUUUGAAAGAUGGCUUCGGCUAUCACUUUUGGAUGGUCCCGCGGCGUAUUAGCUAGAUGGUGAGGUAACGGCUCACCAUGGCAAUGAUACGUAGCCGACCUGAGAGGGUAAUCGGCCACAUUGGGACUGAGACACGGCCCAAACUCCUACGGGAGGCAGCAGUAGGGAAUCUUUCACAAUGGACGAAAGUCUGAUGGAGCAACGCCGCGUGAGUGAAGAAGGGUUUCGGCUCGUAAAACUCUGUUGUUAAAGAAGAACAUAUCUGAGAGUAACUGUUCAGGUAUUGACGGUAUUUAACCAGAAAGCCACGGCUAACUACGCGCCAGCAGCCGCGGUAAUACGUAGGUGGCAAGCGUUGUCCGGAUUUAUUGGGCGUAAAGCGAGCGCAGGCGGUUUUUUAAGUCUGAUGUGAAAGCCUUCGGCUCAACCGAAGAAGUGCAUCGGAAACUGGGAAACUUGAGUGCAGAAGAGGACAGUGGAACUCCAUGUGUAGCGGUGAAAUGCGUAGAUAUAUGGAAGAACACCAGUGGCGAAGGCGGCUGUCUGGUCUGUAACUGACGCUGAGGCUCGAAAGUAUGGGUAGCAAACAGGAUUAGAUACCCUGGUAGUCCAUACCGUAAACGAUGAAUGCUAAGUGUUGGAGGGUUUCCGCCCUUCAGUGCUGCAGCUAACGCAUUAAGCAUUCCGCCUGGGGAGUACGGCCGCAAGGCUGAAACUCAAAGGAAUUGACGGGGGCCCGCACAAGCGGUGGAGCAUGUGGUUUAAUUCGAAGCUACGCGAAGAACCUUACCAGGUCUUGACAUACUAUGCAAAUCUAAGAGAUUAGACGUUCCCUUCGGGGACAUGGAUACAGGUGGUGCAUGGUUGUCGUCAGCUCGUGUCGUGAGAUGUUGGGUUAAGUCCCGCAACGAGCGCAACCCUUAUUAUCAGUUGCCAGCAUUAAGUUGGGCACUCUGGUGAGACUGCCGGUGACAAACCGGAGGAAGGUGGGGAUGACGUCAAAUCAUCAUGCCCCUUAUGACCUGGGCUACACACGUGCUACAAUGGAUGGUACAACGAGUUGCGAACUCGCGAGAGUAAGCUAAUCUCUUAAAGCCAUUCUCAGUUCGGAUUGUAGGCUGCAACUCGCCUACAUGAAGUCGGAAUCGCUAGUAAUCGCGGAUCAGCAUGCCGCGGUGAAUACGUUCCCGGGCCUUGUACACACCGCCCGUCACACCAUGAGAGUUUGUAACACCCAAAGUCGGUGGGGUAACCUUUUAGGAACCAGCCGCCUAAGGUGGGACAGAUGAUUAGGGUG
rnacentral:rRNA from 1 species